rnacentral:rRNA from 1 species
GACGGAGGGUGCUAGCGUUGUUCGGGAUCACUGGGCGUAAAGGGCGCGUAGGCGGCCCUGCAAGUCGGCUUGUGAAAGCCCGGGGCUCAACCCCGGAGGUGCGGCCGGGACUGCAGGGCUGGAGGCCGGAAGAGGAGGGUGGAAUACCCAGUGUAGAGGUGAAAUUCGUAGAUAUUGGGUGGAACACCGGUGGCGAAAGCGGCUCUCUGGUCCGGUUCUGACGCUGAGGCGCGAAAGCGUGGGGAGCAAACAGG